rnacentral:lncRNA from 1 species
CUGAAAUUUUCAGGACCAAUAAAUCUUGUUAAUGAUGUGCACUGCAAUUCACUGUUGCAGACCAUGAUUUUCUCCACUUCAGCUGGUUAAAAAAGGGAACAAUUUUGGGGGAAAAUGCUUCUUAUCUGUAACAAUUUACCUCAAUUCUAAAUAUAAUGCACACUUAUUAUCUAUAGGAAUUAAUAUAAGCAUUAAAAUAUACUCCAAAUCUUGAUACUUUCCUUCAUCCUCAGCCUUGUUUAUUACCUGCUUUGAAACAAAAGAAAGAAGGCACACAUUUUUUAGGACAAGCAUCAUCUUGAACAUUAUGUUUAUGGAUUUAAUGUUCACAACAUUCAUUUCAGUGCUUAAUUGUGAAGCGAACAUGAGAGCAGAUGGAAAUAUCAGACACCUUACCAGGAAAAAAUCAUUUUCCCCCAAAACUUUGAAGGAAUUUUGUCAAUUUUGACACACACUGUUGCCUUUAAGAGAUGAUCACAGCAGCUGUGGAGAAGAUUCAAGUACUGGUUGAACAAAGCACAGAAAACAGCAAUGGUGAAAGACAAUGGAGAGGCAGAACUGAUGUUUUUAUUAUUUAAAAAUAUUGGGUAUUAAGGUAUUUCAUGAGAUAGUCCUUGGUAUUCUCAUCAUAAAUGUUAAGAAAUAAAAUUUUAAUUAGCAUGGACUAUCUGUAGUUG